rnacentral:siRNA from 1 species
AUCAUCACGAUCACUCUGCCA